UAUAGCCUAAUAUAUAGCACCUGAAAGUCAUGGUGUUAUAAAACUCUGCACUUAGUCAGCAAGAGAGCUUGGACAGAGUAAGUAUACUGUGCAAGAUCUAGUCAGCAAGGGACAUCUAGAUUUACUUCUUAAGUAUAGUCUCAACAAUUAUGUAAACUGUGUCACACUCAGUAUACAUGUACAUAGUUUGAGUAGAUUCGUCAAUGCAUUUUACAUUUUGUGGAACGUCAAUAUAUAGUAGCUAUUUACACGUUAUGUUCCUUUAGUUAGGAUUAGACCAACAAAACAAUACCAUGCACUUUGUUUUUCAGGUAUCUAUCCUAUUAUUGUAAUCUGCUAACAUAUGCGUUCGCUGGAGACUAAUUGGUAAGUUACAUGUAUAUAAUUAAUUACGCAUACACAAUUAGUGCACUGUACAUAUUUGUCACUGACAAUUUCGACUGUUGUUUUAUAAAUCUUGCCCUCACAGGCCACCUCCCAGUACCUGUAUAAAGUCACUAUGCUAUAGUUGCCUCCUAAGCUAAAGUCGUGCAUGGGCCUAAAUUAUAUAGUGGGGCUCAUCUUCAUGAGCAUCAUCUACUAGAAGAUUGUCAAGAGAAUAAGACUCAUCAAAAAGAACCGCACUGCUGGGAAGAAACGAAGCCUCAGGCAUGGUGUGGGUGAUCAUGAGGCCCUGUCAGUCUUCCCGAGUGAUAGGCAGAGGGGGGAGAAGAGAACCAAGACUUGAGUGGUGGCCAUGUUCGUAGUAGUAGUGGGACAUCAUCGUGCAGCCUUCCCUCCAGGGGUUCCUUCAAGUGAUAGCUACCUCUCACCAGAACUGCUGCAAGAAGAUGAUGAUCGAGGUCUAGAGAAUAGUCGUUCUAUUCUGGUCUCCUCCGAGAAUAAACCUGAUUGGUCAGAUGAGGAGGGGUCACAUGAGCACAGAGAGGUGUCACAUGCCUCACGGCCGUGUGAUUUGGACACAGUUUAGAAAGUAUCUGAACCCGAGGACUCAAAGGACAAUUUUCAAUAAUAUAGCUUGGUAGCAUUUGUUUGUUGUGUAGUGUCCCUGCAAAAAAUGUAAU